rnacentral:rRNA from 1 species
CGUACACUCCUACGGGAGGCAGCAGUGGGGAAUAUUAGACAAUGGGCGCAAGCCUGAUCCAGCCAUGCCGCGUGAGUGAUGAAGGCCCUAGGGUUGUAAAGCUCUUUCACCGGUGAAGAUAAUGACGGUAACCGGAGAAGAAGCCCCGGCUAACUUCGUGCCAGCAGCCGCGGUAAUACGAAGGGGGCUAGCGUUGUUCGGAUUUACUGGGCGUAAAGCGCACGUAGGCGGACUAUUAAGUCAGGGGUGAAAUCCCGGGGCUCAACCCCGGAACUGCCUUUGAUACUGGUAGUCUUGAGUUCGAGAGAGGUGAGUGGAAUUCCGAGUGUAGAGGUGAAAUUCGUAGAUAUUCGGAGGAACACCAGUGGCGAAGGCGGCUCACUGGCUCGAUACUGACGCUGAGGUGCGAAAGCGUGGGGAGCAAACAGGAUUAGAAACCCCGGUAGUCCCA